rnacentral:tRNA from 1 species
AUUUAAGUAUCUUAAUUUUAAAGUUUAAUAUUGAAGAUAUUAAGAUGAUAUAAAUAUCCUUAAAUA